AUUGAACGCUGGCGGCAGGCCUAACACAUGCAAGUCGAGCGGAUGAAGGGAGCUUGCUCCUGGAUUCAGCGGCGGACGGGUGAGUAAUGCCUAGGAAUCUGCCUGGUAGUGGGGGAUAACGUCCGGAAACGGGCGCUAAUACCGCAUACGUCCUGAGGGAGAAAGUGGGGGAUCUUCGGACCUCACGCUAUCAGAUGAGCCUAGGUCGGAUUAGCUAGUUGGUGGGGUAAAGGCCUACCAAGGCGACGAUCCGUAACUGGUCUGAGAGGAUGAUCAGUCACACUGGAACUGAGACACGGUCCAGACUCCUACGGGAGGCAGCAGUGGGGAAUAUUGGACAAUGGGCGAAAGCCUGAUGCAGCCAUGCCGCGUGUGUGAAGAAGGUCUUCGGAUUGUAAAGCACUUUAAGUUGGGAGGAAGGGAAGUAAGUUAAUACCUUGCUGUUUUGACGUUACCAACAGAAUAAGCACCGGCUAACUUCGUG
rnacentral:rRNA from 1 species